CCCUUAGACGUUCUGGGCCGCACGCGCGCUACACUGACCAGUGCAACAAGCAUCCGUCCUUGGCCGACAGGCUCGGGCAAUCUUUGAACGCUGGUCGUGAUGGGGAUAGACUUUUGCAAUUUUUGGUCUUCAACGAGGAAUUCCUAGUAAACGCAAGUCAUCAACUUGCAUUGAUUACGUCCCUGCCCUUUGUACACACCGCCCGUCGCACCUACCGAUUGAAUGGUCCGGUGAAGCCUCCGGAUUGGCGCGCACCUCGGUGCCGCCGAGAAGUUGGCUAAACCUCACCAUUUAGAGGAAGGUGAAGUCGUAACA
rnacentral:rRNA from 1 species